UUUUGAAUACAUAAAUAAUGCGUGAGACAUUAUUAACCGAAGUAUCUAUAUGUUUUUAGUAAAUUAUGUAGGACUUUUUUUUGGCAUUCAUCUGUUGGGUACAAAACACAAUAGCGCAAUGGGAUGUGAGAGGUUCUAUUAACUUCGUAUGGACAGGAUAUUUGGAAAAUAGCCGAAGAAAAUGUUUGAAGUAAGGAAUGAUACUGUACUAACUUGUGAUCGCGAGUAUUAGAACGGUGUUUGUAAUAUGCCAUGUUUUGAGAUAUUCUGGCUGAAGUACGAACAACAGAGCGGACGAAAAUUUACAGGAAAAAACACGUUAAUUAAUCAAUAACGAGUCGGACAGUAACGUUUGCGUGUAAAAGCAAAUCUUGCGACACAACAAUUCCAUCAACUAAACGGAGGAGAGAGAAUAUAAAUUGUUAAACGCAUCGAGUGUGUACCGUUGCUUGAAGAAACAAAUCUUGUUAUAUAUAUAUAUAUUUCCUCCAAAGGGAAAACCUUAUGUUUGAAGCAGCUUUGAUCGGAGUUGCCAGAAGACGAGGUUUCACGCCUCAAUCGCGCUACGAUCAUAGCAUAUUUAAAUGGUUCGAAAUACCGCGGCUUAACGUUAACGUGCCUAAAGUUAACGAAAAAUCCUCGAUGAAGGAAAGUUUGCUACGUAUCAGAAAGCGGUGGAGUCUUAAGAUAGUGGCCAGAAUUUGACGCUUGGUGGUUAUCGUUGUAUUUGGAUAUAUUUCGACAAUACGAAGGAUGAAGUGCGAAAAAUAUUUACUUUGAAAGCUAAAUUCACGGACUUAGCGAACGCAUUUCUGCAAAACAUAUCAUCAAAAGGCGCAGUUAAUGUGUGUGUGUGCUCGUUCGAAGAGGCGAUAUGACAUCGGAUGCUACGUCAAACUAUUUUAUGUUCCGUCGGACGCAACAUACAUUAAUAGAUCUAUGACAUACUUCAGAAACAUGUUACGAAAGAAGACAGUCCACUUUGGAUUUAACAGUAAUGGUAUGGAAGGGUGCAAAACAAUACGUCGGGACCCAACGUGUUUUCCCCUCACUUUUAAAGAAGCUGUACUAGACGUUGCACACAUGAUUCGUUGUGAUCACGUGAUUAUAACAAUCGGGACAUUUAGUUGGUGGUGAGCUUGGCUAUCUGGUUGAAUAACCGUGGAUGAGUCCUCGUGGCCAACAAAAGAUUCAAAAGUUGGUAAGGGCAUGAACAAAAGUGAUUAUUAUCCAGAACACUGGAUAGGUAUAUAAAUUUGUUAAACAGCUUUGAGUCCGUCGAAAGUGAAGGAUAGCUAUGUACUUAUAAUAUAUAACGAUCGUAAAUAUUCGAUAAUUCUUUUGAUUUUUAAAGGGGAUUGAAUAACUAGGAAGUCAUUUUUUUUCAAAAAUAACUUUUAAGAGAGUGAACUCAACGGAGCGGCCUUGAAAUUACUCUUAUUAAACCGACACUUGGUAUAAAAUGUUUCUAUAUGAGUACAACAAUUUAACUCGCAAUUUAUUGCCCAACAGUUUUAUUUACACUUCACUACGAUUUGAUUAGUUUGAUAAAACAUGUAAAACCAAUAACAAAUGUGAAAUUAAGGGAUAUGUCCCAGAAAGCGACCAAGUUAAUUUAUUGAAUUAAAUAUUCACCCUAUACAAAGAUAACAUCAAAUAGCAUGGUCUAUGGCGGUAUAAAAUAACAGUAGACAUAUCAGUAGAAAUAAAACGAUAAUUGUAUCCUACGAUUACAAAAAAAAUAGGUAAAUACUAAUGCUGAACUUAAAAUUUGGUACAGCCUUAGUUAUGGCUAAUUAAUUUAAACGAAUGUUUUAUUUAACAAGUGCACUCUGUCAAUGAUAGUAGUUUAGCAUCAAACCUCGAACUAAAUGUAAAAGUAAAUUGUUCACAAAGUUGUUAUUAAAAUAGUUAUCGGACCUAUUAACAUUUUAAUGCGCUUGCUUUUCUAAAUAUUACCUAUGGAAAAACAUCGCAGUAAAUGAAAUUAAUGUGUUAACUGCGAUAAUGAUGAUGACGAUUCUCUCUCUCGGCUGACUUGUCAUACCUUUCCAAAUGGCAGGCAGAAAUAUAGUAAUUGACAUAUUUAAAGAAACUGAUUAUAAAACUCAGAAAUUGAAAUAAAUAACUUAUAGCAAAAAUUAACUUUUUCACUUACAUCUUAUUUGCAUCAUUUUAUCAUAAAAUAUUAAAAUUAUUUUUCACAGAACAAUGAUAAUUAGACACAAUUUUUAAUUUACAUUUUAUCGAAUUAUCUUAUAUGUAUGAUAUAUUUGUAAAAUGAUCAGGACAUUUUUAUUUUAAAGCACCCUUAAAUUAUUCUAUUUUGUUUUCGACACGUUAUUACGCCAUUCCGUAAUUAGUUGAACCUCCUCUGUUAAUUCAUGUGUUUUUGAUUCGUCAUAUAUAGAUUUCUUCCUACUAACAACAUAAUUAUAAUUUAUUUCAUGCUUUACGGUAAAUUAUGGAGUUUUACCAUUAAAAUAACAACAGUGAAAAUAUUAAUCUGCAAAACAAGGAGUGCGAAUAUCAAUUUUCAGAACUACUUUUAAAAUCCAUUGUAGUUCCUUCACACUCUAAAACUAAGAAAAUGUUUUAUAUCCAAUGAUUAUCCGCAAUUGUUAUGAUAACACAUUCGACCUUUCAAUUUUUUUUCAAUACAUAGCGGCAUAGUAACUUGGUUAUGUAAUCAUGCCACGCUUGAAAUAAAAGUGUUUUUGUUAUUUUUUUGGAAUAUUGAUGCACUAUAAAACUUCAUUAAUAAACUUUCAUGGAAUCUUUGUACUGAAAGACGAGGGAAUAAUAAGACAUAAAAAAGACUAUAUGAAAACUGUUUCCCAACAAACCUGAAAUAGUAAAUUGGCAGCUAUAAUUUUGCCUGAGGGGCGCCUCACGGGUAGCGGCGUAAAAUACUCGUGAAAAUAUGUUUUUAUAUGACACUCGUGAAAUUAAAUACGACCUUACACUAAAAUGAACAAAUAUCCCCUAUAUCUUCUGGCAUGUAUCAUAUAUAUUAUUUGACAAUAACAAUUUUUGUAAUAGGAUUUUUUUCCAAAACGAGGGGCCAAAAUUUAAUGCGUGUUUGCAAAUACUUUUAGGGUAUUUUGUUACAAUUCAUGUUCACUUAAAUAAACGGAUUUAGUAGAUUUGUUUAAAUCAUUUUUUUAUCCGAUAAAUCAAGGUCACUUAGGGGAAAAAAUCUGGAUAAACUUCCGGUUAUAGCCGGCAAAACAGAGGAAACUUCUCAUCUCUUUCACAUUCUUAGGAUUUGGCCACCUCUUCAUUGCCUCUGUAUUCACGGGAUCAGUCUUUCUUUUUUUAGGAUUGUUGGGAUAAGAGUGAGGUUUGUGCAUGUAAACUGGUUUAAACCCCCAGUAAAUUUACAUUUUACUGACCAUUUCUAACAAUCUUCGAUAAACAUACCUAGUUUUUGAUAUGUAGUAUGUAUGCACUGUGCUGUUUGUUUCGUUUUGUGCUGUUCUUCUAUGUUUCUUGUUUGUGAUUUUUUUUGUGUGUUCUGUUUCUUUGGCGUUUGAAACAAUGAAACGAUUUCGUAAAUAAAUAUUCAAGCAUUAUCAAUUUACUGUCAAUGGACAUUUUUAUUGACAUUUGAUACAUUAAAUCUCGACUGAAAAUAUUAAGGAGACCAAUCUUUGUCGCCUUAAUCCAGCGGUCCCAAUAAUGCCUAGAUUAAUAUAUAUAUGGGCAGCCUAAUAUCUGUAGUAUAUAUAUAUAUAUAUUGCACUUUGAUUGUUAGUUGAAUAUAUAUAUGCUUAAUGUCCGCAGUGUCACCAAUAUCGUUAACUUUCGAUUUUAAAUUCAACAGAUGUAAAAAAACACUACGAAACUUAA